rnacentral:rRNA from 1 species
GUUAAGCGACUAAGCGUACACGGUGGAUGCCCUGGCAGUCAGAGGCGAUGAAGGACGUGCUAAUCUGCGAUAAGCGUCGGUAAGGUGAUAUGAACCGUUAUAACCGGCGAUUUCCGAAUGGGGAAACCCAGUGUGUUUCGACACACUAUCAUUAACUGAAUCCAUAGGUUAAUGAGGCGAACCGGGGGAACUGAAACAUCUAAGUAC